rnacentral:rRNA from 1 species
CCCCACUGCUAUCGGGAUAGGACUAAGACAUGCUAGUCGCGUGCUUCAGCCAAAACGAGGCACGGCACACAGCUCAGUAACACGUGGCUAAUCUGCCCUUGGGAUAGGAAUACCCCCGGGAAACUGGGACUAAUUCCCAAUAGGUGAAGAACUCUGGAAUGAGUCUCCACCAGAAAAGAGCUUACGUUAUGCUCGUAAGUUUCGCCCAAGGAUGAGGCCGCGACCGAUCAGGUUGUUGGCGAGGUAAUGGCUCACCAAGCCUUUUACCGGUGCGGGCCGUGGGAGCGGGAGCCCGGAGAUGGGUACUGAGACAAGGACCCAGGCCCUACGGGGCGCAGCAGUCGCGAAAACUUUGCAAUAAGCGCAAGCUUGACAGGGCUAUCCCGAGUGCCAUCCGCUGAGGAAGGCUUUUACCCAGUCUAGAACGCUGGGGGAAUAAGGAGAGGGCAAGUCUGGUGUCAGCCGCCGCGGUAAUACCAGCUCUCCGAGUGGUGUGGAUGUUUAUUGGGCCUAAAGCAUCCGUAGCUGGCUAAGUUAGUCCCCUGUUAAAUCCACCGAAUUAAUCGUUGGAUCGCGGGGGAUACUGCUUGGCUAGGGGACGAGAGAGGCAGACGGUAUUUUCGGGGUAGGGGUGAAAUCCUAUAAUCCCGGGAAGACCACAGUGGCGAAGGCUGUCUGCUAGAACGCGCCCGACGGUGAGGGAUGAAAGCUGGGGGAGCGAACCGGAUUAGAUACCCGGGUAGUCCCAGCUGCAAACGAUGCAGACUAGGUGUUUGGACGGCCACGUGCCGUUCUAGUGCCGCAGGGAAGCUGUUAAGUCUGCCGCCUGGGGAGUACGAUCGCAAGAUUGAAACUUAAAGGAAUUGGCGGGGGAGCACCACAAGGGGUGAAGCUUGCGGUUU